rnacentral:rRNA from 1 species
UACGGAGGGUGCAAGCGUUAUCCGGAAUCACUGGGUUUAAAGGGUGCGUAGGCGGCUUAAUAAGUCAGAGGUGAAAGGCUGUGGCUCAACCAUGGGAUUGCCUUUGAUACUGUUAGGCUUGAAUCAGGCUGAGGUUGGCAGAAUGUGGCAUGUAGCGUUGAAAUGCAUAGAUAUGCCAUAGAAUACCGAUUGCGAAGGCAGCUGACUCGCCCUUGAGUGACGCUGAGGCACGAAAGCGUGGGGAGCGAACAGG